ACUGAGGUUGGACAGAACGUUUCAGUCGCUGUCAAUUCCCAGUCGGUUGGAAACAGUGAUCAGAGGUGGUGGCAGCUGGUGAUUUCUCACCUGGGUGGGGCCACGAGGGGCUGGACGCAGACGAUGUGAUACUGGAUAGAAAGAAGGAACGGAACAGGGCGGCUACAGGUCUCUUCUCUAACCAUAAGUUACAGCAGAUGGAGGCGGAUCAGGAGGAACCAGUGCUUUAUUAGUGCGUCUUGCAUCUGGGACGGUCCCACUAGGAAAGAAGAUACAAAAAAGACUCGUCUUGCAGUUAAGUUCAUACUGUACGACUUCAUUUGAAUUCAUAUCUAAAUGCUUAAAAAGUACAAACCAAUUCAUGUGCUUCCACUUACUAUUUAAUAAUAAUGAUAGUGAUAAUAAUACUAAGCUUGCCGACUCUGAAUUAAGCUCGGUGGCCGGCGGGGCGCCACACGUACGCCCCCUGUUGACCGGCCCCGCUGAUGAGAGGUUAAGUCUGGAAUCAAAAAGAAAUCAAUCAACCAAUCAAUGAGCCAAAAGAUGUUAUUUCACACAGCAGCAAGUUAUGAUUUUUGAUAGGAUUUGGUUUUGUUUGAUUGGAUCAUGUGUUCAAACAGCUUGUCGCUGUGAAAGUAGCCACAAAGACGCAGCUCAUUAUUACAGAGGUAAUAUAAAUGAACAGCGUUCACCAGGCUAUGAGCUGACAAGACCCUAAAAACCCCCUAAUGACUUCAGUUCUAGCCUGAUCUACGUCCCUAAAGUAGAAACUGAAAGUUGG